rnacentral:rRNA from 1 species
GACGAACGCUGGCGGCGUGCUUAACACAUGCAAGUCGAACGGAAAGGCCCUGCUUUUGUGGGGUGCUCGAGUGGCGAACGGGUGAGUAACACGUGAGUAACCUGCCCUUGACUUUGGGAUAACUUCAGGAAACUGGGGCUAAUACCGGAUAGGAGCUCCUGCUGCAUGGUGGGGGUUGGAAAGUUUCGGCGGUUGUGGAUGGACUCGCGGCUUAUCAGCUUGUUGGUGGGGUAGUGGCUUACCAAGGCUUUGACGGGUAGCCGGCCUGAGAGGGUGACCGGCCACAUUGGGACUGAGAUACGGCCCAGACUCCUACGGGAGGCAGCAGUGGGGAUUAUUGCACAAUGGGCGGAAGCCGGAUGCAGCAACGCCGCGUGCGGGAUGACGGCCUUCGGGUUGUAAACCGCUUUCGCCUGUGACGAAGCGUGAGUGACGGUAAUGGGUAAAGAAGCACCGGCUAACUACGUG